AUGAGUAGGGCGGGACACGUGGUAUCCUGUCUGAAUAUGGGGGGACCAUCCUCCAAGGCUAAAUACUCCUGACUGACCGAUAGUGAACCAGUACCGUGAGGGAAAGGCGAAAAGAACCCCGGCGAGGGGAGUGAAAAAGAACCUGAAACCGUGUACGUACAAGCAGUGGGAGCACAGAGCAAUCUGUGUGACUGCGUACCUUUUGUAUAAUGGGUCAGCGACUUAUAUUCUGUAGCAAGGUUAACCGAAUAGGGGAGCCGAAGGGAAACCGAGUCUUAACUGGGCGUUAAGUUGCAGGGUAUAGACCCGAAACCCGGUGAUCUAGCCAUGGGCAGGUUGAAGGUUGGGUAACACUAACUGGAGGACCGAACCGACUAAUGUUGAAAAAUUAGCGGAUGACUUGUGGCUGGGGGUGAAAGGCCAAUCAAACCGGGAGAUAGCUGGUUCUCCCCGAAAGCUAUUUAGGUAGCGCCUCGUGAAUUCAUCUCCGGGGGUAGAGCACUGUUUCGGCAAGGGGGUCAUCCCGACUUACCAACCCGAUGCAAACUGCGAAUACCGGAGAAUGUUAUCACGGGAGACACACGGCGGGUGCUAACGUCCGUCGUGAAGAGGGAAACAACCCAGACCGCCAGCUAAGGUCCCAAAGUCAUGGUUAAGUGGGAAACGAUGUGGGAAGGCCCAGACAGCCAGGAUGUUGGCUUAGAAGCAGCCAUCAUUUAAAGAAAGCGUAAUAGCUCACUGGUCGAGUCGGCCUGCGCGGAAGAUGUAACGGGGCUAAACCAUGCACCGAAGCUGCGGCAGCGACACUAUGUGUUGUUGGGUAGGGGAGCGUUCUGUAAGCCUGUGAAGGUGUGCUGUGAGGCAUGCUGGAGGUAUCAGAAGUGCGAAUGCUGACAUAAGUAACGAUAAAGCGGGUGAAAAGCCCGCUCGCCGGAAGACCAAGGGUUCCUGUCCAACGUUAAUCGGGGCAGGGUGAGUCGACCCCUAAGGCGAGGCCGAAAGGCGUAGUCGAUGGGAAACAGGUUAAUAUUCCUGUACUUGGUGUUACUGCGAAGGGGGGACGGAGAAGGCUAUGUUGGCCGGGCGACGGUUGUCCCGGUUUAAGCGUGUAGGCUGGUUUUCCAGGCAAAUCCGGAAAAUCAAGGCUGAGGCGUGAUGACGAGGCACUACGGUGCUGAAGCAACAAAUGCCCUGCUUCCAGGAAAAGCCUCUAAGCAUCAGGUAACAUCAAAUCGUACCCCAAACCGACACAGGUGGUCAGGUAGAGAAUACCAAGGCGCUUGAGAGAACUCGGGUGAAGGAACUAGGCAAAAUGGUGCCGUAACUUCGGGAGAAGGCACGCUGAUAUGUAGGUGAAGCGACUUGCUCGUGGAGCUGAAAUCAGUCGAAGAUACCAGCUGGCUGCAACUGUUUAUUAAAAACACAGCACUGUGCAAACACGAAAGUGGACGUAUACGGUGUGACGCCUGCCCGGUGCCGGAAGGUUAAUUGAUGGGGUCAGCGCAAGCGAAGCUCUUGAUCGAAGCCCCGGUAAACGGCGGCCGUAACUAUAACGGUCCUAAGGUAGCGAAAUUCCUUGUCGGGUAAGUUCCGACCUGCACGAAUGGCGUAAUGAUGGCCAGGCUGUCUCCACCCGAGACUCAGUGAAAUUGAACUCGCUGUGAAGAUGCAGUGUACCCGCGGCAAGACGGAAAGACCCCGUGAACCUUUACUAUAGCUUGACACUGAACAUUGAGCCUUGAUG
rnacentral:rRNA from 1 species